rnacentral:rRNA from 1 species
AGUGAACGCUGGCGGUAGGCCUAACACAUGCAAGUCGAACGGCAGCACAGUAAGAGCUUGCUCUUACGGGUGGCGAGUGGCGGACGGGUGAGGAAUACAUCGGAAUCUACUUUUUCGUGGGGGAUAACGUAGGGAAACUUACGCUAAUACCGCAUAUGACCUACGGGUGAAAGCAGGGGAUCUUCGGACCUUGCGCGAUUGAAUGAGCCGAUGUCGGAUUAGCUAGUUGGCGGGGUAAAGGCCCACCAAGGCGACGAUCCGUAGCUGGUCUGAGAGGAUGAUCAGCCACACUGGAACUGAGACACGGUCCAGACUCCUACGGGAGGCAGCAGUGGGGAAUAUUGGACAAUGGGCGCAAGCCUGAUCCAGCCAUACCGCGUGGGUGAAGAAGGCCUUCGGGUUGUAAAGCCCUUUUGUUGGGAGAGAAAAGCAGCAGGUUAAUACCCCGCUGUUCUGACGGUACCCAAAGAAUAAGCACCGGCUAACUUCGUG